rnacentral:rRNA from 1 species
AUUGAACGCUGGCGGCAUGCCUUACACAUGCAAGUCGAACGGCAGCACGGGAGCAAUCCUGGUGGCGAGUGGCGAACGGGUGAAUAAUGUAUCGGAACGUACCUUUCAGUGGGGGAUAACGUAGCGAAAGUUACGCUAAUACCGCAUAUUCUGUGAGCAGGAAAGCAGGGGAUCGCAAGACCUUGCGCUGAUUGAGCGGCCGAUAUCAGAUUAGCUAGUUGGUGAGGUAAAGGCUCACCAAGGCGACGAUCUGUAGCGGGUCUGAGAGGAUGAUCCGCCACACUGGAACUGAGACACGGUCCAGACUCCUACGGGAGGCAGCAGUGGGGAAUUUUGGACAAUGGGCGCAAGCCUGAUCCAGCCAUGCCGCGUGAGUGAAGAAGGCCUCGG